CCUCUUUUUUAUUUUUUUUAGUCACAUCUCUGCGUUUUACGUACGGGACCUGGAUGACGUGGACGUUUACUGCAUUUUUAGGCUCCCCAUCUUGCCUCCGCCGCUACAGUGUCGAAUUAUCUUCCAUUCACUUCAACUCAGCCGUUGGCUCCGGCGGCGAAAACCCGACCCGACAAUUUUUUUUUUAUCCUGCUCCGUCCAGUUCCAUUUCCGGUUGGAUGUAUCCUUCUUCCCUCCAAUUUAUCUCUUACAAUUUCUACCCAAAAUCCCUGAACCCCCUUUCGUCCAUUUCUCCACCACCUCACUUACAAUUCAAAAUGAAGGACCAGCCGACACCGUCGAAUUCGCCGUCACUCGGCCAACUUUAUCUGCCGCCCAAUCACCGCCUUCGCUCUGUCAUCACUACACCCUCCGCCACCUUCUACCCCAUUAAGGAUUCCGUGCCUACAACUUUAAGUACUAAUUGUAAUAUUCACAACCGGAGCUCAUUUCCUCAUUUCGGCGUUAAUGAUAGGAAUGAUAAUAAUAAGAAUUCUAACAAUCCUUACCCUAACUUGCCGCCUCAUCAUUACAAGCAACAAUUACAGGAGAAAAAAUCGCUGCAUUAUAAGGUGUCAGAGGCAGUUUCCGAUUAUGAAAUCGAAUGUUUGGCACAUCCAGGUGCUUCCACCUGGGAUGAUGUUGAUGGCUGGAAAUGGAAGUUAACUACUCUUUUACAUAAUAAGGAUAAGCAAGAAUUAGUAUCAAGAGAUAAAAGGGAUAGGCGCAAUUAUGGUCAAAUAGCAGCUUUAGCAAGCAGAAUGGGUUUAUAUAGCCACCUGUAUACAAAAGUGGUAGUUGUCAGUAAGGUUCCAUUGCCCAACUAUCGAUUUGAUCUUGAUGAAAAGCGUCCUCAAAGGGAGGUGAUCUUACCUCCAGGCUUGCAAAGGCGUGUGGAUAAACAUCUUGGAGAACACAUUUCCCAAAAGCCCAAGGGCAUGAAUGCAUUUUCACGAUCAAGUAGUGAUUGCAAUAUCACUACCGAUGAUGGGCUUUUUGAGCAACCUGAGGCACUUCCACCUAGCAAGGUUGCCAUGGAGAAAUUUAUUUGGCGAAGGAGUCAGCAAAUACAAAGGGAGCAACUGAUUUGGCAGCUUGCCUACAUCUUGAGAAACACACUAAUAUUCUUGCGGUUGGGGUUGUUGAGCUGGUCUCCAAUGCUAUUGCAUCCCUUUGAGCAAUCUCCUGAAGGCAGAAAGAUGAUGGAAUUUCGUCGUAGUCUUCCUGCUUACAAGGAGAAAGAUGCAAUAUUAAGUGCCAUUUUGCAGAACCAGGUUGUUAUCAUAUCUGGUGAAACUGGUUGUGGAAAGACCACUCAGAUUCCCCAGUUUAUUCUGGAGUCUGAGAUUAACUCAGUUCAUGGAGCAAUGUGCAAUAUCGUAUGUACUCAGCCCAGAAGGAUAUCUGCAAUGUCUGUAUCAGAGAGAAUUGCCACUGAGAGAGGGGAGAAAUUGGGGGAUACAGUUGGAUAUAAAGUUCGGCUAGAGGGUAUGAAAGGAAGGGAUACCCACCUCCUCUUCUGCACAACAGGCAUUUUGCUGAGAAGGUUACUAGCUGAUAGAAACUUGAAGGGCGUAACACAUGUUAUCGUGGAUGAGAUUCAUGAACGUGGAAUGAAUGAAGAUUUUCUGCUUAUUGUUUUGAAAGAUCUACUACCUCGUCGACCAGAACUAAGGCUAAUUCUGAUGAGUGCAACCUUAGAUGCAGAACUCUUCUCAUCAUAUUUUGGUGGGGCUCCAAUGGUCCACAUUCCGGGUUUCACUUAUCCAGUACGAACUCAUUUUCUAGAAAAUAUUUUGGAAAGGACGGGAUACCAAUUGACACCAUAUAAUCAAAUUGAUGAUUAUGGGAUGGAGAAGAUGUGGAAAAUGAGUAAACAAGCUCCAAGAAAGAGAAAGAGCCCAAUUGUUUCUGCUGUUGAGGAGGCACUUAAAGCUGCUGAUUUCAAGGAUUAUAGUGCUCAGACACGGGAAUCUUUGUCUUGCUGGAAUCCUGAUUGUCUAGGUUUCAACCUCAUAGAAUAUCUUCUGUGCUAUAUAUGCGAGAAUGAAGGGCCUGGUGCUGUUUUAGUUUUUCUGACCGGGUGGGAGGACAUAAACUCCUUGAAGGAUAAGCUGCAAGGUCAUCCUGUAGUAGGAGAUACUAGUCGAGUUUUAUUGCUUGCAUGCCAUGGUUCCAUGGCCAGUGAGGAGCAGAAAUUAAUAUUUGACAAGCCUGUAGAUGGAAUAAGGAAGAUCGUUCUAGCUACCAAUAUUGCUGAAACCAGUAUUACUAUUAAUGACGUGGUUUUUGUUAUUGACUGUGGAAAGGCAAAAGAGACGUCAUAUGACGCUCUAAACAAUACUCCUUGUCUGCUUCCUUCUUGGAUUUCCAAGGUUUCAGCUCAACAAAGAAAAGGAAGAGCUGGACGUGUUCAGCCUGGAGAAUGUUAUCAUCUCUAUCCAAGAUGUGUAUAUGAUGCUUUUGCAGAUUGUCAAUUACCAGAAAUUUUAAGGACCCCGCUGCAGUCUCUUUGUUUACAAAUUAAAAGUCUGAAACUGGGUAGUAUUUCUGAGUUCCUGUCAAGGGCAUUGCAGUCACCUGAGUAUCUAGCGGUUCAAAAUGCUAUUGAAUAUUUAAAGAUCAUUGGGGCUUUGGAUGAGAAUGAAAAUUUGACUGUUUUAGGACGCUACUUAACAAUGCUUCCAAUGGAGCCAAAACUUGGUAAAAUGCUUAUACUUGGUGCUAUAUUGAAUUGCCUGGACCCAAUGUUAAGUGUUGUCGCUGCUCUAAGUGUCCGAGAUCCUUUCUUAGCCCCAAUGGACAAGAAGGAAUUAGCAGAAGCUGCAAAAGCUCAAUUUUCACGUGAUUAUAGUGAUCACCUCGCUCUUGUUCGGGCAUUUGAAGGGUGGAAAGUUGCCGAUAGAGAUCUUGCUGGAUACAAAUAUUGCUGGAAGAAUUUCCUGUCUGCACAGUCCAUGAAAGCUAUUGAUUCUCUUCGCAAGGAAUUCUACUCUUUGCUAAAGGAUAUUGGCCUUGUCGAUAGCAAUCCAGUCAAUUACAAUACAUGGAGCUAUGAUGAGCACCUUCUUCGAGCAAUUAUUUGCUAUGGCUUGUAUCCUGGAAUCUGCUCUGUUGUGCACAAUGAAAAAUCCUUCUCCCUUAAAACGAUGGAAGAUGGGCAGGUGCUUUUGUACUCUAAUUCGGUUAAUGCGCGUGACUCAAGGAUACCAUAUCCAUGGCUUGUUUUCAAAGAAAAGAUCAAAGUUAACUCUGUCUUCCUGCGGGAUUCAACAGCUGUGUCUGAUUCAGUGCUGCUACUAUUUGGUGGAGGCAUCUCAAAAGGAGAUAUGGACGGUCACCUAAAAAUGCUGGGUGGAUGCUUGGAGUUCUAUAUGGAGCCAGCUACAGCAGAACUGUACCAGAGUUUGAAGAGAGAGCUUGAUGAAUUUAUUCAGACAAAGCUCCUUUAUCCGAAGAUGGAUAUACAUUCCUGCCAUGAACUUUUAUCUGCAAUACGGCUGCUGAUCUCUGAAGAACAGUGCGGUGGUAGAUUUGUUUUCAACCGCCAGAUAGUACAACCCUCCAAGCCAUCUAUUGUAGCAGAAGCUCCAGCCUUCAUACCUAGGUCAGAAAGUGGUCCUGGGGGUGAUAAUUCGAAGAGUCAGCUACAAACAUUGCUGACUCGAGCAUGCCGUGCAGCACCUGUAUAUGAGACGAAGUGGCUAAAGAACAACCAGUUCCAAUCAACUGUAGAAUUCAAUGGCAUGCAGAUAAUGGGGCAGCCGUUCAAUAACAAGAAGCAAGCAGAAAAAGAUGCAGCAGCUGAGGCACUGCAAUGGAUUUUGGGACGGAAUCAGGCCGGCCAUGACUAUGUUGACCACGUGUCAAUGUUGCUGAAAAAGAGCAAGAAGGACCACAAGUAGACUUGGAGGUAGCUUGAUAUCCCAUGCUUCUGGUGUUCGCACUAAAGAUACAGGGCGCUCUCAAUUUGUACAAGCAGCGUGCAACAUGGACCCUGUCCAAGUGAGUUUCUGUCAAUGUUGUCAAAUUGAAAGCUACUGAAAAUCCCCAGAAUGGCCAUGCAGCAUCAAAUUUAUGUUCACCAACUACAAUUCGGUUUGCAAGUUCUUGCAAGAAUAUGCAACAGAUUGUCUCCAUGCCUCUGCUUCUGAAGAUGAACCUAUAUUAGCCGGAUUGGGUAGUCAAAGUUAGCUGGACAAGCUUUUCUUGAGCAAAUACACCUGGAAGUCUGGAACUGUAAAUGUGGCAUUGGUGGAAAUGUGCCCACCAAGGCAGGGAAAGCGAAAUUAUGCAUUGUGGGAAUGUAAAUGUGAUGCUAUUGGAUAUGUUGACGGUUGACCCAGGCAACAUGUUGGAAUGAAGUGAACAAUACCACUUUUCUGAUAGGAAACGAGGUAUUGAGAAGAACUCAUGGGCCUAAACCUUAUGCCCACCGAUUUGGUCUAAUUUUAUCGUUUGAGUUAUUAAAUUGGCACUUUUAUUA